AUCAUGCAGCCAACCAUUGCGGAUCUCCUUCUUCUUUGGAUGUAAUUCGUCGUGUGAUUCUCCUUCUGGUUUUCAAUCGCGCAAGUUAUAGGGCCAUCUCGACUCUUUAGUUUGUCGCAAAGAAAGUCGUACCCAUCUCAGACCGCCUGAUGCAGGUCGGUGGCAACCAAGACUCCCUUUUUUUUCUCUCUCUCUCUCUUUUUCUUUCUCUAUAUAUAUA
rnacentral:lncRNA from 1 species